rfam:Tupaia chinensis contig14968, whole genome shotgun sequence.
GUGCUUGCUUUGGCAGCACAUACACUAAAAUUGGGACAAUAUAGAGAUUAGUAUGGACCCUGUGCAAAGUCGACACAUGAAUUCAUGAAGCGUUACAUAUUUUA